ensembl:lncRNA
UGGAAGUCAUAUCUCUUCUCCACCACACAACAGACCGAGACUUAGUCUUCCAGAAGAUGAGAGAAACCUUCCAGUACCGUCAGCAAAUUCUGCAUGAUCCACAGCACUCAGCUGAUGUACUGCAAGUGUUUCCUCACUUCUAGGACACUAAAGGACUGAUUUUGCAAGACUUCUCACUGGUGUUUGGAGAAGUAGUUGCAUCAAGGUUCCUGCAAAAAUGGAACACCAGUUUUAAAGACAAAGUCGUCCAGGAGGCCAAGAACCUAAAGGACAUCUGCUCUGAAUGAAGGAUCUGACACCACUGAUGAUCCAGGUAUGCUCAGUGGGAGUGGCCAGGUGCACCUGUGGCUCAUUACCAAUCGGCAGGGAUGGUUAAAAGAUGAGUCGGCCUGAACGUCAUGGCCAAUGGGCCAGAUCAGCUCCCAGAGUGUGGUGUGG